rnacentral:misc_RNA from 1 species
GAUGGAAGAACGCAGCAAAAUGCGAUAAGUAAUGUGAAUUGCAGAAUUCAGUGAAUCAUCGAAUCUUUGAACGCACAUUGCGCCCGCCAGUAUUCUGGCGGGCAUGCCUGUUCGAGCGUCAUUUCAACCCUCAAGCACAGCUUGGUGUUGGGACUCGCGUUAAUUCGCGUUCCUCAAAUUGAUUGGCGGUCACGUCGAGCUUCCAUAGCGUAGUAGUAAAACCCUCGUUACUGGUAAUCGUCGCGGCCACGCCGUUAAACCCCAACUUCUGAAUGUUGACCUCGGAUCAGGUAGGAAUACCCGCUGAACUUAAGCAUAUCAAUAAGCGGAGGA